UGGUGCAUGGUUGUCGUCAGCUCGUGUCGUGAGAUGUUGGGUUAAGUCCCGCAACGAGCGCAACCCUCGACCUUAGUUGCCAGCAUUCAGUUGGGCACUCUAAUGAGACUGCCGGUGACAAGCCGGAGGAAGGUGGGGAUGACGUCAAGUCCUCAUGGCCCUUAUAGGUGGGCUACACACGUCAUACAAUGGCUGGUACAAAGGGUUGCCAACCCGCGAGGGGGAGCUAAUCCCAUAAAGCCAGUCGUAGUCCGGAUCGUAGUCUGCAACUCGACUACGUGAAGUCGGAAUCGCUAGUAAUCGUGGAUCAGAAUGUCACGGUGAAUACGUUCCCGGGUCUU
rnacentral:rRNA from 1 species